UACGUAGGGGGCUAGCGUUGUCCGGAAUCAUUGGGCGUAAAGAGCGUGUAGGCGGCCCGGUAAGUCCGCUGUGAAAGUCGGGGGCUCAACCCUCGGAUGCCGGUGGAUACUGUCGGGCUCGAGUACGGAAGAGGCGAGUGGAAUUCCUGGUGUAGCGGUGAAAUGCGCAGAUAUCAGGAGGAACACCGAUUGCGAAGGCGGUUCUCUGGGCAUUACCUGACGCUGAGGAGCGAAAGUGUGGGGAGCGAACAGG
rnacentral:rRNA from 1 species